CUAAUACAUGCAAGUCGAGCGAACAGAUGAGAAGCUUGCUUCUCUGAUGUUAGCGGCGGACGGGUGAGUAACACGUGGGUAACCUACCUAUAAGACUGGGAUAACUCCGGGAAACCGGGGCUAAUACCGGAUAAUAUUUUGAACCGCAUGGUUCAAUAGUGAAAGACGGUUUCGGCUGUCACUUAUAGAUGGACCCGCGCCGUAUUAGCUAGUUGGUAAGGUAAUGGCUUACCAAGGCGACGAUACGUAGCCGACCUGAGAGGGUGAUCGGCCACACUGGAACUGAGACACGGUCCAGACUCCUACGGGAGGCAGCAGUAGGGAAUCUUCCGCAAUGGGCGAAAGCCUGACGGAGCAACGCCGCGUGAGUGAUGAAGGUCUUCGGAUCGUAAAACUCUGUUGUUAGGGAAGAACAAAUUUGUUAGUAACUGAACAAGUCUUGACGGUACCUAACCAGAAAGCCACGGCUAACUACGUGCCAGCAGCCGCGGUAAUACGUAGGUGGCAAGCGUUAUCCGGAAUUAUUGGGCGUAAAGCGCGCGUAGGCGGUUUCUUAAGUCUGAUGUGAAAGCCCACGGCUCAACCGUGGAGGGUCAUUGGAAACUGGGAAACUUGAGUGCAGAAGAGGAGAGUGGAAUUCCAUGUGUAGCGGUGAAAUGCGCAGAGAUAUGGAGGAACACCAGUGGCGAAGGCGGCUCUCUGGUCUGUAACUGACGCUGAUGUGCGAAAGCGUGGGGAUCAAACAGGAUUAGAUACCCUGGUAGUCCACGCCGUAAACGAUGAGUGCUAAGUG
rnacentral:rRNA from 2 species